rnacentral:rRNA from 2 species
CGCUGCUUAACACAUGCAAGUCGAGCGGUAAGGCCUUUCGGGGUACACGAGCGGCGAACGGGUGAGUAACACGUGGGUGAUCUGCCCUGCACUUCGGGAUAAGCCUGGGAAACUGGGUCUAAUACCGGAUAUGACCUCAGGUUGCAUGACUUGGGGUGGAAAGAUUUAUCGGUGCAGGAUGGGCCCGCGGCCUAUCAGCUUGUUGGUGGGGUAAUGGCCUACCAAGGCGACGACGGGUAGCCGACCUGAGAGGGUGACCGGCCACACUGGGACUGAGACACGGCCCAGACUCCUACGGGAGGCAGCAGUGGGGAAUAUUGCACAAUGGGCGAAAGCCUGAUGCAGCGACGCCGCGUGAGGGAUGACGGCCUUCGGGUUGUAAACCUCUUUCAGCAGGGACGAAGCGCAAGUGACGGUACCUGCAGAAGAAGCACCGGCUAACUACGUGCCAGCAGCCGCGGUAAUACGUAGGGUGCAAGCGUUGUCCGGAAUUACUGGGCGUAAAGAGUUCGUAGGCGGUUUGUCGCGUCGUUUGUGAAAACCAGCAGCUCAACUGCUGGCUUGCAGGCGAUACGGGCAGACUUGAGUACUGCAGGGGAGACUGGAAUUCCUGGUGUAGCGGUGAAAUGCGCAGAUAUCAGGAGGAACACCGGUGGCGAAGGCGGGUCUCUGGGCAGUAACUGACGCUGAGGAACGAAAGCGUGGGUAGCGAACAGGAUUAGAUACCCUGGUAGUCCACGCCGUAAACGGUGGGCGCUAGGUGUGGGUUCCUUCCACGGAAUCCGUGCCGUAGCUAACGCAUUAAGCGCCCCG